rnacentral:lncRNA from 1 species
UUGCUUAAACUUUCUUCACAUCCUAAUUAUGUAGUUAAGAAGAAAAGUUUGAAUUUUGAAUAUUCCAUAUAUAUUGGUUUGGUGUCUAGAUGACUCUAGGCCAAAAUAGUGGAUCCGGCUUUGAGUUUGAGUGUUCUAUACUGUAUGGUUUUCUCUUUUGUCAAUCUUUAAAAAAAAAAAAAAAAAUUGUUUGGUAGAGUUUGGGUUUAUUGAAAGAAAUUACUAAAUUAGCAAUCCAUUUGCCAUUUGGUUGUGCGUUUCCAAAAACAGACACAACAAAACCGUCUGACAGAAAACGUACAAGAAUUAAUAGAACCAAAUUGUCUAAGUAAAAAAUUACGAUAAUAGAACCAUCCAAACGCAGUACGCACAAGUAUGAAAAACAUGGAGUCAGACUCACUAAAUUGAUGACCAUUAGCACAUAACAGAAAGAAUAACUAACCUUUAAGUAGCUAGUAAGGUUUGUUGUUCAUAAAACCAUUAGACUUAUGAAUGUUCUCAGUAAGUAUGAUUAAGAGAAUGAGGCAGGGGAAUUAGGAGAUGUGGUCCAUGCUUUGUCCUAAUUAGUAACUAGAUGGGAAAUGAUUUCAAACACUUUAGUUUCCUUAGCUUUCUUGGGGACCUUUUUUUUUUUUUUUAAGUUAAAACCGGUGGGCAUUUAAUUUUU